rnacentral:misc_RNA from 1 species
CAAUGAGUGUUUAAUGGCACUUUAAAUCCAUUACCCACCUUGUGUGCACUGUAGGGGAGGAGAGGGGAUUAAACAACCCGCGCCUUCCAUCAUACAUACCAUUUUGUUUUUUUCUAUCUGUCUACAAUUCUGAGUAUAAAAAACUCGAAUA